rnacentral:lncRNA from 1 species
UAGUUAUAUUUUGGGCUGAGCGCAGCCUGGCCUGCCCGAUAAACAGGUUUAGUCAUGAUUGAUACUAGAAUGCAUCUGCCUCCUACCUCCUGCAGUCCCAUGUCUCCAAUAUUAAUGUGAAUAGUUAUAUAAUGAAAAUCAGAUUGUUUUUUAUCUUAUUAAACACUUGAAGCUACAAAAUUUUAUACCAUUAGGUAGAAUAGCAUGACACAAGUAGCAGAUGAAAUCAAUAAUUAACAUAUAAACCUGUCGGGCAUGCUAAUUGUUUCUAUCACUGAAAAAGGGGGAGGAAAGAAAAAGAAAAGCUUUCAACUCCCUGAGGAACAGCAUUAUCAGAUAGAAGGGUUUGAACAAUUGUGUGUAAUAGUGGUAGUUGUGACCUUGGUAAACAUUGUUGCCAAUCAGGGCCCCAUUCGUAUAUGAUUUUAAUGGUCAUGCAAUUGCUUUCUGAUCCCCAACUUUUUAAACCAAGGAUCAAGUGAUUCUAUUAGCUUUGUUAACCUACAAGUUUGCCUUUUUCUGUCAUGCAAUAUUAUUUUCUUCAAAAAUUCUAUUUGCU